GGCUCUAUGGUCUAGUGGUAUGAUUCCUGCUUUGGGUUCCCUAAUCAAAGUUGCAGGAGGCCCGUACGUUCUGUGUUAUUCUGAAAACUAAAAUAUACAGAUACUAAUCAAGGUUGUAGCGCGUUCGAGUCGCGGUGGAGCCC